GUGGGGAAUAUUGGGCAAUGGGCGCAAGCCUGACCCAGCAACGCCGCGUGAGGGAAGAAGGUUUUCGGAUUGUAAACCUCUGUCGCAAGGGACGAAGAAGUGACGGUACCUUGUGAGGAAGCCCCGGCUAACUACGUGCCAGCAGCCGCGGUAAUACGUAGGGGGCGAGCGUUGUCCGGAAUUACUGGGCGUAAAGGGUGCGUAGGCGGUUGCUUAAGUUGGAUGUGAAAUACCCGGGCUUAACUUGGGGGGUGCAUUCAAAACUGGGCAACUAGAGUUCAGGAGAGGGAAGCGGAAUUCCUAGUGUAGCGGUGAAAUGCGUAGAUAUUAGGAGGAACACCAGUGGCGAAGGCGGCUUUCUGGACUGACACUGACGCUGAGGCACGAAAGCGUGGGGAGCAAACAGGAUUAGAAACCCUGGUAGUCC
rnacentral:rRNA from 1 species